AUACGGAGGGUGCAAGCGUUAUUCGGAAUCACUGGGCGUAAAGGACGCGUAGGCGGGUUGGCAAGUCAGAUGUUAAAUCCUACAGCUUAACUGUACAACUGCAUUUGAAACUGCUAACCUAGAGUAUGGGAGGGGGAGAUGGAAUUAGUGGUGUAGGGGUAAAAUCCGUAGAUAUCACUAGGAAUACCGAAAGCGAAGGCGAUCUCCUGGAACAUAACUGACGCUAAGGCGUGAAAGCGUGGGGAGCAAACAGGAUUAGAUACCCUAGUAGUCC
rnacentral:rRNA from 1 species